rnacentral:tRNA from 1 species
UGCAGUGUCCUGACGGUCAGGAUCUUGAUUCAUAUCCAAGAGAUUCGGGGUUCAACUCCCCGCACUGCGACCA